rnacentral:rRNA from 1 species
UACGGAGGGUGCAAGCGUUGUCCGGAUUUAUUGGGUUUAAAGGGUGCGUAGGCGGUUCUUUAAGUCUGGGGUGAAAGCCCGUUGCUCAACAACGGAACUGCCCUGGAAACUGGAGGACUUGAGUACAGACGAGGGUGGCGGAAUGGAUGCUGUAGCGGUAAAUGCAUAGAUAGCAUCCAGAACCCCCGAUUGCGAAGCGACGAUGCCCUAGA